CAGCAGCCGCGGGAAUACGGGGGGGGCAAGUGUUAUUCGGAAUGACUGGGCGUAAAGGGCACGUAGGCGGUGAAAAGGGUGGAAAGUGAAAGUCGCCAAAACACUGGCGGGGUGCUUUCUUGACCAUUUCACUUGAGUGAGAUAGGGGAGAGUGGAAUUUCGUGUGGAGGGAUCAAAUCCUAAGAUAUACGAAGGAACGCCAACCGCGAAGGCAGCUCUCUGGGUCCCCACUGACGCUGGGGUGCGAAAGCAUGGGGAGCAAACAGGAUCAGAUACCCCAGUAGUCCCUGUCUCUUAUACA
rnacentral:rRNA from 1 species